UACGUAGGGACCAAGCGUUGUUCGGAUUUACUGGGCGUAAAGGGCGCGUAGGCGGCAAUUCAAGUCAUCUGUGAAAUCUCCGGGCUUAACUCGGAACGGUCAGAUGAUACUGCUUUGCUAGAGUGCGGGAAGGGGCAAUCGGAAUUCUCGGUGUAGCGGUGAAAUGCGUAGAUAUCGAGAGGAACACCUGAGGUGAAGACGGGUUGCUGGGCCGACACUGACGCUGAAGCGCGAAAGCCAGGGGAGCAAACGGG
rnacentral:rRNA from 1 species